UACGAAGGGAGCUAGCGUUGUUCGGAAUCACUGGGCGUAAAGCGCACGUAGGCGGACGUGUCAGUCAGGGGUGAAAUCCCGGAGCUCAACUUCGGAACUGCCUUUGAUACAGCACGUCUCGAGUCCGGAAGAGGUGGGUGGAAUUCCUAGUGUAGAGGUGAAAUUCGUAGAUAUUAGGAAGAACACCGGUGGCGAAGGCGGCCCACUGGUCCGGUACUGACGCUGAGGUGCGAAAGCGUGGGGAGCAAACAGG
rnacentral:rRNA from 1 species